ensembl:lncRNA
AACAGUCAGACCUACUAUCACUGGAAAAAUGCUAUGCCACUCCAAUUACCCCGACUCUGACUUCACUUUUUUACUCCUGUGUGAUUUCAUGCAGUGACUGAAUCAUAUCUAUCUCAGCUCUAAAUCAUUAUUAUAGUUUUAUGUGUAUAUUGACCGAAUGACAUUAUGUGGCCAUUCAUCAUGCACCAAUGGAAACAAAGCAGUAUCCAUCUGGAGCAGGGAAAAGGAAGAGAAGAACGGAAGAAGAAGAAAAAUAAGCUCAAACUUGAGGUUUGUUUCAGAAUGGGAUAUGCUGAAAUGUGUAAGCGCUAGUGUAAGAGCUGCAGAGACAAGCCAUCUAAGGAUAUUCCUGGGGCCUCAUUUAUAUACAAAUGGGCUCCCUCUCCUCAUCUCCCCUAACCAAUACCCUGAUUACUGUGGCCCAAAGCAUCUCUACCUACCGGACACGCAUACAGUGAGGAAGUCAUGUGCCAACUGUGAAUAACUGAGACCAGUGCAGUGGUAUAUUACGGCGUCACAGACCGUUCGGCCAGCCUUGCUCCAUGUUGUCUACAACAAGCAGAAUGCAGGUUACUGUGCUGUUUAAAGGGAACUUGUUUACCAUUUGUGGUCAUUUUGGGGCAUAUCUUUAUGCAAAUAAGCGUGGCCGUGCAGGACCACAGCAGUUUAGUGUGCUUAUGUGUUAAUAGUUUUUUACAAAAGCAAGUAG